rnacentral:lncRNA from 1 species
CCCUCGCGCAGGUACGUACAUUCCCACUAAGCGGAGAAUGAAAGCGCAGAGAUCAAAUGUGCCGUCCUUGCGCCAGAGCUUUAUGCUGAGGGAGACCCGUGCCUGCUGAGGGAAGUGUCACCGCAACAUACCCAUCGCAGCCAGCAAGGAGGGAGAGGGAAAUGGGCCCGUGCUCCUCGAGGCUGAGUGACUUGCCAGCGUCAGGAGAGAGGGACGUCUGCUCUGAGGCUAAUGCCGCUGCCUGUUUCCUUGGGAAGGUGGUCGGCCUGGCUGAUUGCACCCCGCGACCACCACAGCUCGGGUUCAAGUUCUGCAAGCAGGACCCGCAGAUUUGCCAGGAGCUGGACAAGAUGCCAGCAGCCAAGGAUUUGUGGCCUAGCCCGGUCCUGCCAGAUGAGCAGGUGCCACCAGCCCCUGGGCUGCAAUCUCAGGUAGGAAGAGAGAUUUCAGAGAGGGCAGGCUGAGGCCUCAGGAGCCAAUGAUCUCUGGUGCACAUGCCGUGAUGGAGAAGCUGCCAGGGAGCAUCUCAGCCUGCCUUCAUCUCUUUUCAAUUAGCAGGGGAAAGCACAAGCCAGAGACUUUGCUGCUCUCAGAAAGAAGAGUUAAGCAGAGAUGCACAUUUAUUGCAGUACUUGAAUCUCUGCUCAAAGCUGAGGAAGUAGUAAAAAUAGCAUAUUUUUCUCUUAAAAGCUCCUCUUGUGAAUGAGAAACUCAGCCAGUUCCGUGUCUGAAAGGACAUUAAAGGUUCAGUCAGAAGUCUCCUACAUGCUUAAAUGCUUGGGCAUAACUAAGAGUUGGAGCCUCCUAGCAGAUCACCCAGGCACCCACGUCUCCAGAGCCUAUUUGAGCAGGACCUGCUGAUGGCUGCUCUUCCCUUUCCUGCUCAGGUGAGUAGGCAUGAUACCCUCUCUCUGAUCUCAUGACACUGUGACAGUAACGUCCACCUUCUCACCAUGGAGAUACACUUUCUGU